GCUACCUUGGCAUAGUGGUUUGAGUGCCAGACUAGACCUCUGAGAGACCAGGGUUCGAAUCCCUGAUCAACCA